rnacentral:rRNA from 1 species
UCCGUGCCAGCAGCCGCGGUAAUACGGAGGGUGCGAGCGUUAAUCGGAAUUACUGGGCGUAAAGCGCAUGCAGGCGGCCUGUUAAGUCAGAUGUGAAAGCCCCGGGGCUUAACCUCGGAAUUGCAUUUGAAACUGGCAGGCUAGAGUCUUGUAGAGGGGGUAGAAUUUCAGGUGUAGCGGUGAAAUGCGUAGAGAUCUGAAGGAAUACCAGUGGCGAAGGCGGCCCCCUGGACAAAGACUGACGCUCAGAUGCGAAAGCGUGGGGAGCAAACAGGAUUAGAUACCCUGGUAG